rnacentral:lncRNA from 1 species
AAAAUAAUAAUAAUAGAACACUCUCUGUUCCGACGACUCUCUCAUCACAAAGAGAAACAGCUGGCAAGGAUGAUAUGGCCCUCCACUCUCUCUCUUGGAAAAAGACAAAAAAAGAAUUGGACACCCUCUCUCAAAAAAAUCUCUAUGUCUCUCAAAAAGAAUUAAAAAGGAAAAAGGGGUGGGGGACAACAUACCACUACCGUUGGAAUCCCACUCAAAAGCAUUCUCUCUGAUCCUCCAACGAAAAAAAGAAAGAAAGAAAAUAGAAAGAGAAAAGAAAGAAUAGAAAAGGAAAACGAGAGAGAGGUCGUCUCCUCGUCGGCAGGAAGAAAAGAGGACUAUUCCUCUUCUUCUUCAAAAAAUCUCCGCCUCUACAUCUCCACUGCGUCGCCGACACUCUUCCGUCAGAAUCAACCGCAACUCACCGUCCACCGCUGCGAGCCUCCG